GACAGAGGGUGCAAACGUUGUUCGGAAUUACUGGGCGUAAAGCGCGUGUAGGCGGCUCUGCAAGUCGGAUGUGAAAUCCCACGGCUCAACCAUGGAAGUGCAUUCGAAACUGCAGGGCUAGAGUCCUGGAGAGGAAGGUGGAAUGCUUGGUGUAGAGGUGAAAUUCGUAGAUAUCGAGAGGAACACCGGUGGCGAAGGCGGCCUUCUGGACAGUGACUGACGCUGAGACGCGAAAGCGUGGGGAGCAAAC
rnacentral:rRNA from 1 species